rnacentral:rRNA from 1 species
CUGGGCGUAAGCGUGCGCAGGCGGUUGUGUAAGUCAGAUGUGAAAUCCCCGGGCUCAACCUGGGAAUUGCAUUUGAGACUGCACGGCUAGAGUGUGUCAGAGGGGGGUAGAAUUCCACGUGUAGCAGUGAAAUGCGUAGAUAUGUGGAGGAAUACCGAUGGCGAAGGCAGCCCCCUGGGAUAACACUGACGCUCAUGCACGAAAGCGUGGGGAGCAAACAGGAUUAGAUACCCUGGUAGUCCACGCCCUAAACGAUGUCUACUAGUUGUCGGGUCUUAAUUGACUUGGUAACGCAGCUAACGCGUGAAGUAGACCGCCUGGGGAGUACGGUCGCAAGAUUAAAACUCAAAGGAAUUGACGGGGACCCGCACAAGCGGUGGAUGAUGUGGAUUAAUUCGAUGCAACGCGAAAAACCUUACCUACCCUUGACAUGGAUGGAAUCCUGAAGAGAUUUGGGAGUGCUCGAAAGAGAACCAUCACACAGGUGCUGCAUGGCUGUCGUCAGCUCGU